UGUCAUUGUUUUAUAGAUACCAUAGUGAGAAAGGAUUCAUUUCGCAGCACCUACGGCUUCCACUAGAUGUCAACGAUCUUUAUAAAGUUGUUUGAAGCGUCUAUGAUAAACAGAGAGCAAAUUAGAAUCCAAGGAAGUUGACAUGUCAUCACUUCAUUUUUUUGCGCCUGCGCAUAAAUCUGAGAAACGUGAGUUUGUCAUCAUUUUUUAUCUAGACAUAGGAUAGGUUGUGUGAAAAUAUUACUGAUGUUUAACGUUAAAAAUGGACCAAAAGAUUAAUGCUAAACAACAUUUGACAUGUUUGAACGAACAUAAAUGGAUUAUUUACUCGUUUUUUUUUGCUUUUCGGCGUGAUUUUACACUCCCCACACCACGUUUUGUGGGAGCAUAAUGAACGCUAAGUACUUGGUGUUAUUUGGACAUAAAUUAUGAACUUUGUCAAAAGAAACCACAUUUGUUCCGGACCUGGGAUGCCUUCCGGACCUGGGAUGCCUGCCUUCUGAUGGAGAUAAUCAAAGCCUCAAUCUCCAUUUCCCCCUUUUCUUUCUCUCCCCCUCCAUCUCACUUAUCUAUGUCACUUCCUCUCUCUCUCUCUCUCUCUCUCUCCUUCCCUUCCUUCCCUCCCUCCUUCCCUCACUCCCUCAUGGUUCUGUCUUCUGAACUCUCUCCGGUGGCGGUUUGAAUCCUCCUGUCAGCCAGGUACCCUGACAGAAUCGGGAUGCUUCUUCCCAGUGGGACUUGGGAACGUGGAGCAAGGAGGGAUAACAGGGACAUGUAACAGAGACAGAUUCAGCCAGAUGCAAGCCUCCCAACCACCUGUCUCACAUAUGAUGCACAAUUUAGAGCAUCCAGUGGGGCUGUAUUACCGUCAGGUACGGCAACUGCAGCACCCGGAACCGCAGGGCUCUCCAGUGGGUAGUGCGGUCUGCCCAACGCAUCACCGGGGGCAAACUGCCUGCUUUCCAGGACACCUACAGCAUCCGGUGUCACAGGAUGGCCCAAAAGAUCAUCAAGGACAACAACCACCCGUGCCACUGCUAGUUAACCCCGCUAUCAUCCAGAAGGCGAGGAGCAGGCAGAGAGGAUUACGCACAGGUCCUCUCCAUAGCAGCAACACAGCGGGCACAAAAGCAAUUUUGCAUCAGGCGGCUGGUCCAGACGGCAUCCCUAGCCGCGUCCUCAGAGC
rnacentral:lncRNA from 1 species